rnacentral:lncRNA from 1 species
UGAACACCAUUCCCAAGCCACUCUGCUCCCUCAGUUCUACUGGUGCCACAGUUGAGUGUAGUUCUGUAACCAUGACUGCUGAAAUGACUUGGAUUAAAAAAAACAUUUUGUCACUGAAGUAGCCCAAACAUUGACAUCAUCACCUACAGGAGGCAGCAAAAUCUGAGCUGGAACAAGAAUAAUUAAAUAGGCUACAUGUGCCUUUGACUAGGUUUGCCAUGAAUGUAAACAUAUUUUUGAACCGUUCUCUAAGGUAAUCAAGUGUUGCCAAGCUUGCUGUGUCUCACAGCCCUUUAAAAAUAGCUAUGCUGUUUUGAAAGCCUUGCAGAAAAUUGGAAGGUGAGUAGCCAAAAUCACAGAUUCUGUUGACAUGGUUAGAUUGUAGGGUAGUACACCCAGAUAUUGCUACUUGAGGGCUUUGGUUACUCCAAGAAGAGUGGAUAGACAUGGACAGUUGAAUGGAUUGACACGUGCAUGAGUAAGUAAAUGAUAAGCCUAUGAUAAACUUUGAUUUGCUUGGUCCGAAAUUUCUAUUGUCGUGCGUAUUUUGUUUGUUUUGUUUGUUUGUUGUUGCUUUUACCCCCAAGGCUCUAACUCUAUUUCUGUGAAUAAUUUAGAGGGAAGUUAGAAUAGAGUAUAAUAUUUGAGUAAAAAUUGUUAUAAUAAAUCUUAUCAAGGGCUCAUUACAGCCAGAAUUGAUUGUAAAGUAAUAUAUCCCCAAAAGGAGCUUGUUAUAAAAACUCAGUCUUGAUGCAGCAGAGAGAAAGGCACACCUAGUACAUGAGUCAGCCCAUCCUGAGACACUUCUAAGAGAGGUGAGAAGAAUCUGCACUGCUGAUUCCUCCGCCCCUUCAUCCACUGUAGAGGGAGGCGAAACAAACAGCUUAGAUGCGUAACUUGUAAAUGGUGAAAGUAAGAAAAGGUAAAACAUAUUUUGUAUGCAGAAAAUGUUUUCAAGAAAUGAAGAAGAACUGUGACAACUUUUGCUCCCCCCUGAUGUCAAUCAAUCAACUGAAACUCACUUCAGAUUCCUUUAGAUAA